UACGGGAGGUGCAAGCGUUAAUCGGAAUUACUGGGCGUAAAGCGUGCGUAGACGGUUGCGUAAGUCAGAUGUGAAAGCCCCGGGCUCAACCUGGGAAUUGCAUUUGAGACUGCGUAGCUAGGGUGCGGAAGAGGGAAGCGGAAUUUCCGGUGUAGCGGUGAAAUGCGUAGAUAUCGGAAGGAACAUCAGUGGCGAAAGCGACUUCCUGGACCAGUACCGACGUUCAGGCACGAAAGCGUGGGGAGCAAACAGG
rnacentral:rRNA from 1 species